GAUGAACGCUGGCGGCGUGCCUAAUACAUGCAAGUCGAGCGAACAGACGAGGAGCUUGCUCCUCUGACGUUAGCGGCGGACGGGUGAGUAACACGUGGAUAACCUACCUAUAAGACUGGGAUAACUUCGGGAAACCGGAGCAAAUACCGGAUAAUAUAUUGAACCGCAUGGUUCAAUAGUGAAAGACGGUCUUGCUGUCACUUAUAGAUGGAUCCGCGCCGCAUUAGCUAGUUGGUAAGGUAACGGCUUACCAAGGCAACGAUGCGUAGCCGACCUGAGAGGGUGAUCGGCCACACUGGAACUGAGACACGGUCCAGACUCCUACGGGAGGCAGCAGUAGGGAAUCUUCCGCAAUGGGCGAAAGCCUGACGGAGCAACGCCGCGUGAGUGAUGAAGGUCUUCGGAUCGUAAAACUCUGUUAUUAGGGAAGAACAAAUGUGUAAGUAACUAUGCACGUCUUGACGGUACCUAAUCAGAAAGCCACGGCUAACUACGUG
rnacentral:rRNA from 1 species